AUUUUUUCCGGUUCGUAAGCAUGACUGGGUGUUCACACAUUUGUGUGACAUGUGCCUCCUUAAGUCUUGUUAUGCGUCUGUUACAUUGCCCGUCUGAUG